rnacentral:lncRNA from 10 species
AACAGCGGGAAAGGAGGCGGGAAGGCCGAGAACAAGGUGAAAGCCAGGAAGAUGGGUGAAUUGUUGUUUAAAACAUCUCAGAAUAUAUACAUGAGCAGAAUGAGCAGAACAGAAGUUAAAGAUAGAGCUUCUUCCAGCGCAGAAAUGGCAGUUGCAUCAUACCUGUUUAGCAUCAUGGCUUCCAGCUAACUACCCAUCCAUUCACUGGAAGAUAUUUUUGAAGCCUUGCUGUGUCAUUAGAGCAGAGCCUCGUUCUGAACUCCUGGUCCAGCAGGCCCUGCUGCAGAGGCUGCUGCAGCUCAUGGCACACUUGGACAGCGGCAGCACUCUCUUCUCUGAGGCCUCUCUCUUCAACGUUUUGUAAGACUGUAUUUGCAUGUUUAUUUUUAUGUAAAUGCUGAAACAUCUGGUCUAGUUUAAAAAAUAAACACAAAACACAGCCAAAAGCACACUGUUGGCAUUUUCUCCGGUACAGGUUGAUUUAAAGAGAACUGCCGUAAGACCGUGUGUCUUCUGAUCCAGCCGCAGUGGGCUUUCUCACUCGCUUGCCUUCGGUGUGCAUCUGCUUGCUAAUACUAAGAAUUUGUGCCUCGAUAUUGAUAAGGAAGGUGAUUCUGUGAUAUUUUCAAACAAACAAUGUGGAAGCUUGAUCUUUCCUUCUGUGCUCCUGAACUGGUUCAUAGCAUUGUAAUUACAUGUUCCUUAAGGUUUGCGAGAACUUGUAAGGUGGACUUUUCUUUCUCAUUUGGAGCAAGUGUGUAUAUGUAUGUGUGUGUGUGGGUACGUUUGUGUAUGCACAUGCUGCAUGUAUGUGUAUAGCGUGUGUGUAUAUGAAUGUGUGAGCAUGUAUGUGUGCAUAUGUAUAUGUAUGUUGUCUUCAUGUGGGUGUUUAUGUGUGCAUGUGUAAAUGUAAGUACAUGCAUGCAUGUGUGUUGUUUGGUCAUGUGUGUACAUGUGUAUGUGUGUGCCUGCGUGUCCG